rnacentral:rRNA from 1 species
GACGAACGCUGGCGGCGUGCUUAACACAUGCAAGUCGAACGAAGUGGCGAACGGGUGAGUAACGCGUAAUCAACCUGCCCUUCAGCGGGGGACAACAGUUGGAAACGACUGCUAAUACCGCAUACUGAAGGUGGGGAUUGCGUCUGAUUAGCUAGUUGGGGGGGUAACGGCCCACCAAGGCGAUGAUCAGUAGCCGGGCUGGGGGGGUGAACGGCCACAAUGGGACUGGGACACGGCCCAGACUCCUACGGGAGGCAGCAAGGGGGAAUCUUCCGCAAAGGACGAAAGUCUGAAGGAGCAAAGCCGGGGGAGUGAUGACGGGCUUCGGGUUGUAAAGCUCUGUUAAUCGGGACGCGGUACCGGAAUAGAAAGCCACGGCUAACUACGUGCCAGCAGCCGCGGUAAUUC